CGGGGUGUAGCUCAGCUUGGUAGAGCGCCGUCUUUGGGAGGCGGAUGCCGUAGGUUCGAAUCCUAUCACCCCGA
rfam:Synechococcus phage S-RSM4 complete genome